rnacentral:misc_RNA from 1 species
UACAGAAGCCCCAAGCAUUACCCGGAUUUACUGGGCGUAAAGGGUGCGUAGGCGGUUAUAUUAGUCUCGCGUUAAAUUUUCAGGCUCAACCUGAAGCUCGCGUGGGAAACGGUAAAACUAGAAGAAGUGAGAGGCGUGCGGAACUCAAGGUGUAGGGGUGAAAUCCGUUGAUAUCUUGGGGAACACCAAAUGCGAAGGCAGCACACUGGCACUUUCCUGACGCUGAGGCACGAAAGCGUGGGUAGCGAACGGG